CUCAAGCUGUUUCCUCGAUGAAGGUAGGUGAUGCCUUGAAUUCCUUGAUGGAGGAGCAUUUGGCAUGUUGAAUGUGCUCCUCAGUCCUUCUCUCUGCCUCUUUCUCCUUCUCCAGGGUGAGGGCGAGAUCGAACUCCACCUGCCUGAGGACCUCCUAGAGAUGCUUGGCCUCAGCCUCUAGUUCUUUGAAUUUCACGCAGCUACUUGGGCAUCCAUCUCGACUUUCUUCUCAGCCUCUAGCGCCUGUGCCUUCCUGGCCGAACGGUUCGAUAAGUUGACAAGAAUAUGGAGUAGCUGCAUUUCAAAUCGACUAAGUCAGAGAAAAUAUGAUGAUUGAAAAAAAAAAGAGAGGUG
rnacentral:lncRNA from 1 species